rnacentral:rRNA from 1 species
AGCGAACGCUGGCGGCAGGCCUAACACAUGCAAGUCGAACGAAGUCUUCGGACUUAGUGGCGGACGGGUGAGUAACACGUGGGAACGUGCCUUUAGGUUCGGAACAACUCAGGGAAACUUGUGCUAAUACCGAAUGUGCCCUUCGGGGGAAAGGUUUAUCGCCUUUAGAGCGGCCCGCGUCUGAUUAGCUAGUUGGUGAGGUAAAGGCUCACCAAGGCUACGAUCAGUAGCUGGUCUGAGAGGAUGACCAGCCACAUUGGGACUGAGACACGGCCCAAACUCCUACGGGAGGCAGCAGUGGGGAAUCUUGCGCAAUGGGCGAAAGCCUGACGCAGCCAUGCCGCGUGGAUGAUGAAGGUCUUAGGAUUGUAAAAUCCUUUCACCGGUGAAGAUAAUGACUGUAGCCGGAGAAGAAGCCCCGGCUAACUUCGUGCCAGCCGCCGCAAUAACAC